UUGGAUUUCAUGUUGAUUUACUAAAGAUGAACAUGGUGUUGGAUGUUCUGAUCAAUGAUCUAUAAUGCAAAAUUCAGUCAUGGAAAUUAAAUCAUUUAUUCUGAUUCAGAAUGAAGGAUAAAAGCCAGUUUGAAGAUGAAGUGAGGGAGGGGAUGUUUGCUGUUGGCUUUACAUGAGUUUUUAUCUGUAUUGGUUAUAAACGCUUUGACACCUGUGGCACCCAUGUCAUAUUUCCUUUUUGAUUUUGAUAAACUCAAACAAUUUCUUCUUGUCCCCCACCCAUUCGUAAGUCAUACAGCUUGGCGAGAUUUAGAUGGCAUCAAAUGAUUCACAGCUUUAAUGUUAAAAAUCACUAGUCAUUUCUCUGUGCAACUGGCUCCAAGGACCUGUCAAUUCAAAGGAGUUUACUGCACUUUGUGGGGGAAAUCUAGAACUUAGUUUAUCUUCUGAACCAAUCUUGGAUGUUUACCUAAUCGGCCUAAAUGUUUACAACAGUUUAAUAGGCUUUGCUCAUCUCAUGGGCAAUAUGGCAUAAUGAAGAUUUACGGCAGGUCUUUAUUUAUAUACAACACAAUUAAAGUCCCCGGCAACCCCUCCCUCACCUUUCCCCACUUGACAGUGGCGACAUGGGUGUUUUUUGUCGGAAGGUUCGAUACCUUUUGUCACAGAUGAUCUCGACCAUAUGGCAUACUUGAUCCUUUGGGGUAAUUUGCUGACACAGGGCAAGUUAUAAACAAUUCACUCAUAAAGAGCACUGCAAACAAUUCAUUCACCAGGUACAGUACAACCCAGCUCUCUUUGUUCUUCAUACACUGUAACUCAUAAUCUUUUAUUUAGAAAACCCAAUUUUAAUACGUUCAAUUAAGAUACACUAAAAUUGUGCAUGUAAAAGAGAAUGAAAUUGGAACAACUAUUACUUAAGCUUGUAAACUUUUUUAAUUUAUAUUAAUGUUGUCUUGAUUGGACAUUGCUACAGUAUUCAGUGGUUCUUUGGGUAGAGGAAAUGGUGGCAUUAAUCUGAGGCUAUAAGGUGUUAAUUUAUGAUAACUUAUCAGCUUCUGGCAUCAGUCUUCACAGAUAUUUCAUUCAUACUUUUGAGAUAUUUUGGUUCUAAGUGCAAUGAUUUCAGGAAGCAAAAAAAUAGAUUUACAUGAAAAUAUAUGUUUGUGGAUGAAUAUCUCAGUUUGUUUAUCUCAGAAUCAUUCACCUUGCUCAGUAGGGAAGCCUGUAUGAUAUUGGAAGAAAAUUAAGGUUAAAAAAAUCAACACAAUCUCCUCCAAAAGUUCGUAAAGGAACAGAUUACAGUCAUAAAAUGAUUGGCAGAGAUUGGGGGGG